UACGAAGGGGGCUAGCGUUGCUCGGAAUCACUGGGCGUAAAGGGUGCGUAGGCGGGUCUUUUAAGUCAGGGGUGAAAUCCUGGAGCUCAACUCCAGAACUGCCUUUUGAUACUGAAGAUCUUGAGUUCGGGAGAGGUGAGUGGAACUGCGAGUGUAGAGGUGAAAUUCGUAGAUAUUUCGCAAGAACACCAGUGGCGAAGGCGGCUCACUGGCCCGAUACUGACGCUGAGGCACGAAAGCGUGGGGAGCAAACAGGG
rnacentral:rRNA from 1 species